rnacentral:rRNA from 1 species
CUGGUAGUGGGGGACAACGUUUCGAAAGGAACGCUAAUACCGCAUACGUCCUACGGGAGAAAGCAGGGGACCUUCGGGCCUUGCGCUAUCAGAUGAGCCUAGGUCGGAUUAGCUAGUUGGUGAGGUAAUGGCUCACCAAGGCGACGAUCCGUAACUGGUCUGAGAGGAUGAUCAGUCACACUGGAACUGAGACACGGUCCAGACUCCUACGGGAGGCAGCAGUGGGGAAUAUUGGACAAUGGGCGAAAGCCUGAUCCAGCCAUGCCGCGUGUGUGAAGAAGGUCUUCGGAUUGUAAAGCACUUUAAGUUGGGAGGAAGGGUUGUAGAUUAAUACUCUGCAAUUUUAACGUUACCGACAGAAUAAGCACCGGCUAACUCUGUGCCAGCAGCCGCGGUAA